AACGCGAAGAACCUUACCCAGGCUUGACAUGCAGUGGACCGCACUAGAAACAGUGCUUUCCUUAGGGACCGCUGCACAGGUGCUGCAUGGCUGUCGUCAGCUCGUGCCGUGAGGUGUUGGGUUAAGUCCCGCAACGAGCGCAACCCUUAUUGCUAGUUGCCACCAUCGAGGAUGGGAACUCUAGCGAGACUGCCUGGGUUAACCAGGAGGAAGGUGAGGAUGACGUCAAGUCCGCAUGGCCCUUAUGUCUGGGGCUACACACGUGCUACAAUGGCCGGUACAGAAGGCAGCGAAACCGCGAGGUGGAGCAAAUCCCAAAAACCGGUCCCAGUUCAGAUUGAAGUCUGCAACUCGGCUUCAUGAAGUUGGAAUUGCUAGUAAUGGCGUGUCAGCAACAACGCCGUGAAUACGUUCCCGGGCCUUGUACACACCGACAUA
rnacentral:rRNA from 1 species